UUCAUGCAAUACACUGAAGUGCUGCUACGUGCAGUCACCUUGACAGCCGCUACCAUGAGGCGCGCAGUGCACAACACAAUCUCGCCACAACCACAGGGAUGAUGUCAUCUCCGACAGAGACAACACGGCACACCGCUAACAAGUCCACAUCCGCAUGAGGAGCGAGGGGGACCGGCAAUGGUGCAAACAAAAACAAACUUGGGGAAAACUGGAACAAAAAGGGUAAAUGUCAAUGAACGCCUCGCAGCAACAACAUUUCAUCGCCAAGACUCCACAUCAAAGCAGUGCUGCUGUAAAAGGCUACAACUGACGGGAGAGGAAAUCCCCAUUCUCAUCAGAUCUCCGCCUUAAAUGACAGACCGGGUGCGGAUGGCCAAUCCCCUCUCGACUUUGUUGUUUUAUUCAUUUGAAAUUAUGGCUCAGAACAACUAGCAGGCAUCGCUAAAUAACAUGUAAACAGCGUACAUGCUGAUUGAAAACCAUCAUUUGAUGGCUGAUAAUGGAGCCUUAGGCUACACGUCAUUUUUAAAGUGAGGUUGAGUUUUGAAAUAGUCAGCAUUUUAGGACAACUGGCGGGAGGCGAAGAAACAAACACAGGAUGAUUAUGUAAACUACCGGGAGCAGCCGGAGCUGAGAGGCAACGAUGCUAACCGCUAUCCCACUCGUCUCGCACUUACAUUAUUACGACGGUAGAUACAGUCACGACUCAGAGCCACAGGCCAAAUCAAAAGCUAAAUCCAACUGAGAAAAUUAAAAAAGCCAAAAAUAUUUCGUCUCUGGUUGUGUAAGCAUCACGCAAAAGCCUUGCAGCUAAAACGACAGCAAGAGUAUCGCUUUCACACACCUGCUGCAUUUUGUGUUUAGUCUAUCACCUACAAUUGCAAUAAAAUACAGAAAGCACCUUUACUUAAGCUCUAAUCCGCAUUCUAACACAAUGUUACAAUACUUCAGGUUCAAGUUUGGCAAUCAUGUAGCACUGAUUAAAAACCUAAUGAUGUAGCUGCAUGAAAUGAAGCCAUGUUGGAAUAUCUUCGAGUACGACUUGAGGGAAUUUAGAGGAAUAUGAAGUCAUUACACGUUCUCCACUCCUCUUAGCGCAUCUUGAUUUCUCAUCUCGUCUGGGCUGUGACUUCGAGAGAUAUCCCAGAAACAUUUCUUGAACGAUAUUCCGCAUCUAAAGGCUCUGAGGAGGAUGGAGGAGACGGGAGGCUCCCCACCCACAAGAUACUGUCACACUCACCGUUAUGCUCAUAAAUACAGCAACUGGGCUGCAACAAAAACAAAGGAAUGAUGCACCUGUUCCACAGGCCCACUGGGACGCCUCGUAUCGUCAAAUGGCUCAACUCGGACGCACUCCAGCCUUUUUCCUCUGAUAAAAUGAGCGAGUCACACCUCAAGCAAAGCCUUCACAAAUGGUUUCCUUUUACAUGGUUAAAACUAACAAUUAUUUUCCGUAAUCGAUUACUCUAUUGAUUAUUCGGACGACUAAUUGAUUAAUUCGAUUAAAAGGUUAAAGUUAAAUGAAAAGCCAUUUACGUUUUCUACAUUAAUAGAUGCAAAUAAUUAAAUUCCUUUUUUUUUAAAUAACACUUUAUUGCAUACAGAGACUUUUUUUUUUGAGUGAACAUUUGAUCGUUUUUAGAUUAGCUGAGUAAUUUUUGCAUUAAGCAGUUAAUAAUUUGAUAGAAAAAGAUGCUUAACAGGAGAACUUGAUUUUUACAGAAUUUGAACUACGUGAAGCUAAACCUAUGCCAGUGGGAUUUCUGAGUAAAACAAGUUUUUAAACAUAUUUUUUUUUUAUCUUAAAUUACAAAAUAUAGACACUUAUUUACAGUUUUGGCUUACUUACUGCUCUGAAUAUGUGGUUCUUGCAGCAAAUGACCUUUUUUUUUUUUGCAAUCUAUAUAUUCCAGUUAAAUAUUACCUGCUGAAUAAUCAAUUAAUCUUGAUUAAUCCAAUUACUUGUUUCAACUGCAAUGGUUUAGUUUUUUAACAUUAAAAAAAUUAUCUACACCGUCUACACUUUAACAACUUGAUCCAUUUUCUUUUAGCUGAUGAAGAGAAACUUUUUUUUUUAUUUGAAGUUUUAUUUACCUUGUUUUAACAUAAUAGCAAUUUUCCAUUCAUUCUAUGAAAAGAGGUAUUUAACUAAGAAUCCAUUCACAGGGUUGAAGAUUUAAAUCAAUAAAAUAGAGAGUAAAUUACCUCUUAAUUUAAUCAACAUUAUCUAAUAGCUUAUUGAUCGUCGCAUACCUGAUGCUUAUCUAAAGAAAGAGUAAAGGUUAGUGAGAAAAGCUAAAGUGGAUUCUCUCCACGACUUGCUGAAAUCGACUGAUUUAAAGCUGCAUGAUUUCCCCAAAUGACACUGAAAAACAGCAAAUGAUCCAACCUAGUUUUAUAAAAAUCAGUGACAACAUGCACCGCCCGCCUGACGUUAAAGUCCCUUCAGAUUGAAGUAUGGUGUAUUGAUUUUUCUGCAACCAGUUUAAAGUAUAAACCAACUCAGUAUAAAGCAGACAGAAGCCCACAGAUGCAGUCAGAAAUAUUUUCUGAUCCAAUCUGCUCAUAAAAUCAGCUCUUAUAUUUACACGACAUGCUUUCUCAUCCUUCAAAUGGUGCCACUUUUUUUUACUUUCCACUGAAGCAUUCAACAAUCAUCAUCCGGUCGAUGCAGUGUCCUCAUAUUUUUGGUUUUUCAAUUCAUUUUAAGAUUAAGUAAUUGGCCAUAAAAAUUAAAAAAAUAAAAAAAACACAACCAAUCUUUAGGCAGGUUAUGGGACUGCUUGACCCCAUAUGAUGUGGAGUAAUUUAAAAACAUAAUAAAUAAAUAAAGAUUUUCACAAAGAGUCAUAAAAUGUACCAAUGAGUCCGUGGAUAACGAAUCCAAUUGUUGAACAGAAUUUCAUAAAAUCUUAAAACUGUGUUUUAAAAAGAAAUGUGACGUCCUAAACCUGCCCAUCGGAAAUGAAUAAUCCAAAUUCCUUCCGCUAUCUAAAAUAAUAAUAAUAAUAACAAUAAUAAUAAUAAUAAUAAUAAUAAAGAGAUAUGAUGCAACAAGAUGAUGUGAAGUUUUUAAAACCAAACUUGGGUGACGGUUUCAGCUUUCCUGUCAAAGUGCAGAACUGAAAUGCUAUUUAUUUGAUAUUAAAAUGCAAUUUUACAGAUUUUGAAUUUGCCUGUUAAAUCAGUGGUUACUAAAGUAUAUGAUGCAUAACAUUAAUAACAUAAUAUGAAGGAAUAUUUUAAUGAAUUGCAUAAGUGGGUUCAGUGAUGGGCCUGAGUUGAAGCAGACAGACUUCAGUAUUCAAAUGUGUGACUCAAACACUGAAUAAUCAGUCAAAUUGUUGAGCUGUUUUCCAAAUGUUAAGAUUUGUUUUUGGCAGAAACAAAAUAAACAUUGAGGACGAAUGUCAAAAGACAAAAAAACAACAACAAUAAUUUCUACAUCUCUCCAAAAUCUCAAACACAGUGACAUAAUGACAAUAAUUAGCAUAAAGCGCUUCAUGCGGUCUAUAUAUUCAAAAGAAAUAAACUAGAAUGUGUUCAUGUGUUACAACAUACAUAGUGCCAGAAAAAUCUUUUCCCACUGAAAAGCCAACAACAGAAUCAAUACGUGACAUUUUACUCACCAUUUAUUAAAAAUGUGUGAACUUGAAGGCCAGCACACUUUAUAAUAAAAUUCUCCUUGCCAAUGGGGUUGUGUUGAUAAAAACUGAGGGAAUUCAUUUUAUUUUAGCACUAAGAGGCAUUUCUCUUUUAAGUGCUCACUGCGGCUGGUUGGCUGAACGUUUGAUGGGACAAAAUGCUAACGAGAGAAGUGAUGCACUAACUCAGACGACAGCCGGCGUGAGCAGCUGGAGAUGAAAGAGGAGCGAGGAAGAGAACAACUAAAAGACAUCUAUAAACAUUCAGCUUGAACAUGAGCUAAUGCACAGAGCCCACAUGUGUUAAGUCGGGCCAAAAGCAGACUCUGAUACUGCAAUAAAGACACUAACAAGUUCACUGAAAUUCUUACAGAUUAAAUGUUUGGGCUCGUGUACAGUAGCCAAUUUGCGUUAACUCAUCUCUAGAUCUGUAGAAAAGACCAAAAAAAGGAAAAAAAAACAAACAAAAGACUUUGCUCUAUGCUUGAGUUUUCAGAUGUAAAAUAUACGACCAGUGGACACACAAGUCAAAAGCUUCUGGGCAGAUCAGAUCAAGUCUCUUCAAAAGUAAAUUAGACCAGACAAGAGAGGCGGUUCCUGACAUCACCACCAGAGGGUGCUGUUGGACACAACUUUAACCCCCAUCUGAGAGCAUCUUUUAUACAUUUCUGCAUGCAAUUUUAAUCAGAAGAAACCUCUUCUGAAACAGGAAAUUUACACUAACACAAAAAGGGAGAAUGCCUUUACUCGUUGACUGAAUUCCAACAUUCGUUUGGCUUUGUGAGAAUCUGUAGCUUUGUGUUUCCUUAGACACAACAUUUCUGAUUAGCUUUGCUUGAUAAAAACUAAUAAAAAUCCACGUCAUUCCGACCCCCUUCACAGCCGUACUUUGAAAUGUUGCUCAUCCUGGCAGAAAGUCGCCGCUUAGCACAAGAGCACUUCAGCAGAAAAGCUGCUCCUCUUCAAACUAAAGAGAGCCAUUUCCCUCUAUCGACCUCUCCGUUUGUUCUUUUCUUUGCCGGGUCAGAAGUUUGUCUUUUGUCAGAAGGCAAAAUGUCACAGCUUUCACUGUCAUGUGAAUACACCCUUUUAGUAAUAUGGACAAAUUUACGCACAAAACUGAAAAGAUCUCAAAAUGUGGUGUUAAAAUUAUUUAUGUUGUGUCAGACUACGCCACUCAGUUGUUGUCACACAAGCUGCUCUUGGAGAUGCUGUGUAGCAGCUCUAGUCUGAAAUACUUUCUUCUUUAAUGAGACAGUGUUUGAUUGAUGCUGAGAGUAAAGUAAAAUAAAACAAGAGCUGCUCGUGGGAGCUUCAUAAUUAAGAUGAAGGGCAUGCAUGGAAGCUUUUUGGUACAGAAACCCUAAAACGGAUAUGAAAUGUGGAACGGUGUCACGAAAAAAGGCACUAUGGAAAAAUAUUGGACAUAGCAAAGCAAAGCUAAAGGUUUAAUGUUUUAAACAGAGUUAAAUUAGACAUUAAUGCAAUGUAUGAACGUAUUUACAGAAAUAGAGGGUUUCUGUUAAAGAAAAUUAGACAUUUGAAGUUUUUUUUUUUCUAUACGUCCUUCAGUAAUCCUUUUAAACAUUUUUGACAGUAAACAUUUUUAUGCCAAAUUUGAAUUGCGGUUUAAUAAAGCAAGAAGUUUUGUUUAAGAACAAGGUGGUAAAACCUAGAAAUAUUUAUGUGUAGUAAAUAUAUCUCAUAUUCCCCUUUUAACAA